CUCCUAUCUAGCUAGCUGUUCACUGUUUGUACGUAUACUGUAGCUACACAUAUUUUACUUCACUUUCAGGAUCGUUAUGCUGAUAUUUAACUUAACAGGAUGAUGCAACAUCAAAGUCUACAUUCCAGUUGAUACUAAACUUGACACACCUUUGUUUGAGAGCUGAUUCUAGUGUUUUCUGAAGCUGCCGAGGAACCUGCUAUGCAUAAAGGUGUUGAUAAUCCUGCAGAUUAAAGUCACCAAGACCAGAAAAUCAUGCAUUUCACUUGUGCAAUUAAUGUCAGCCCUGGGACCUGCGAGCAACUCAUGACGAGGAUCAUCAACUCCAACGAAGGCGCCAGCGGUUCAGAGGUGAAUGUCAUGCCCAACAUGGUCUUAAGCCCUGGGAGCAACUGAACCUACCAAUGCCACAUCUAUCAAGACGUGAAAGCACUUCAUGUGAUAAUUUAAAAUAUACACAUAUGUGAGUUUUACAAAGUGGAUAUAUAGAAUAACCUAGAAGCUCUUACCCUCUUUCAAUAUGAAAUAUUGAAAGAUAACCAUAUGGUUGUUACUGCAUGAUAUAAACCCAUUCCAUCUUUAAGCUCCUACUCUAAAGAAAUGCCAACAAUAAGAUCUAAGUUAGUUUUUU